rnacentral:tRNA from 1 species
GCCUGGCUGGCUCAGUUGGUAGAGCAUGUGACUCUCGAUCUCAGGGUUAUGAGUUCAAGCCCCACAUCGGGCA